rnacentral:tRNA from 1 species
UCCCUAGUAGCUCAGUUGAUAAAGAAUCUGCCUGCAGUGCAGGAGACCCAGGUUCAAUUCCUGGGUGGGAAA